UACGUAGGUGACCAGCGUUGUCCGGAUUUACUGGGCGUAAAGAGCGCGCAGGCGGUCGUUCAAGUCGAGUGUGAAAGCCCCCGGCUCAACUGGGGAGGGUCAUUCGAUACUGAUCGACUGGAAGGCAGGAGAGGGAAGCGGAAUUCCCGGUGUAGUGGUGAAAUGCGUAGAUAUCGGGAGGAACACGAGUGGCGAAGGCGGCUUCCUGGCCUGUUCUUGACGCUGAGGCGCGAAAGCUAGGGGAGCAAACGGG
rnacentral:rRNA from 1 species